rnacentral:rRNA from 1 species
GCUAAUACCGGAUAACAACAGAUGAUGCCUAUCAACUGUUUAAAAGUAUGGUUCUGCUAUCACUCUUGGAUGGACCUGCGGUGCAUUAGCUAGUUGGUAGGGUAACGGCCUACCAAGGCGAUGAUGCAUAGCCGAGUUGAGAGACUGAUCGGCCACAUUGGGACUGAGACACGGCCCAAACUCCUACGGGAGGCAGCAGCA